CAGUCGCCGCGGGAAUACGUAGGUGGCAAGCGUUGUCCGGAAUUAUUGGGCGUAAAGGGCUCGCAGGCGGUUUCUUAAGUCUGAUGUGAAAGCCCCCGGCUCAACCGGGGAGGGUCAUUGGAAACUGGGAAACUUGAGUGCAGAAGAGGAGAGUGGAAUUCCACGUGUAGCGGUGAAAUGCGUAGAGAUGUGGAGGAACACCAGUGGCGAAGGCGACUCUCUGGUCUGUAACUGACGCUGAGGAGCGAAAGCGUGGGGAGCGAACAGGAUUAGAUACCCGGGUAGUCCCUGUCUCUUAUAC
rnacentral:rRNA from 1 species